rnacentral:rRNA from 1 species
GAUGAACGCUAGCGGCAGGCUUAACACAUGCAAGUCGAGGGGCAGCAUAAAUAGUAGCAAUACUAUUGGUGGCGACCGGCGGACGGGUGCGUAACGCGUAUACAACCUUCCCUAAACAGGGGGAUAAUCUGGAGAAAUUCGGUCUAAUACCCAAUAACAUCAGAGCAGGCAUCUGUUUUGGUUAAAAUUUCCGGAGGUUUAGGAUGGGUAUGCGUAGCAUUAGCUAGUUGGUGAGGUAACGGCUCACCAAGGCGACGAUGCUUAGGGGGGCUGAGAGGUUAACCCCCCACACUGGUACUGAGACACGGACCAGACUCCUACGGGAGGCAGCAGUGAGGAAUAUUGGUCAAUGGGCGGAAGCCUGAACCAGCCAUGCCGCGUGCAGGAUGACGGCUCUAUGAGUUGUAAACUGCUUUUGUACGAGGGUAAAGUGGGCUACGUGUAGCCUUUUGAAAGUAUCGUACGAAUAAGGAUCGGCUAACUCCGUGCCAGCAGCCGCCGUAA